UGCAGUGCUAUUGUAAGCCAACAGGCGACCAUCUAUUGACUUAAGGCUUCUUGAUAGCUGUCCGGUACCUAAUGUUGUGCAGCUACUACAAGUGGGCAAAUUGUUGUGAAAUUGUGUAUCGCGGUGUGAACACGAUUUGGAUCGGAUCUGUACUAGAGAGUGAACGUUGAAUAGCUGAGUCUUCUAUUUUGUGUUCUGAAAGUGAAAACCGAAAAAGUGAUGUCUGCAGCUACCCGGGUAGAAAUGAAUAACAAAUCAAACAUAAAAUGAACAGUAACAAAUUUAACAUAUAGUGCCGAUGAUUUGAAUGCUACUUUGACGACGUUCAUACAAUAAUGUAGGCGACUUUCAGUGUUUUUAGUAACAGAAGUAAGGACUCCCCAAAUUUCAAGAAAAUUUUCUGUCUACCUUUGUUCAUUUCUACCCGGGUUACUGGACCCACACAGCACUCAACGCAAACAAUAGUCGCGUCAGUUGAGCCGUAGAUGUGCGAAUGUCAAUAUACUUAGUGCGAUGAGCCCGGCUUAAUUGAGAUUUCCGGCUUACUAAGAACGUUUAACCAUCGAAUAAGUGCGGUGCCCUGCGGCUCGAACCAUGCCUCAACAGUCGCCCAACGACGAUGUCGUCGUGGUAAAGCACAUUACCGGGCCCGUCGACGAUGAGUGUGACACCACUCGGUACGAUAUACUGUUCCUGUGCGGAUUCAUAGUGAUAGUGUUAGUGGUGGCUACGAUCUUGCGGUUGGCCUUGCAAGUCACCCGAGCACGGAUGAUUUCGGACCAACAGCGGCAGCCAAAUCGUGACGAAAUCAGUAGUCCGGACGGAUCGAUGCUCAGCCUAGUGCUCAGAAGAUGAAGAAUGGCGCGGAGGACGCGGAAAUGUUCAACAACCUCCCAAGAUGGACGUCAUCGUGAGUGAUACAUUUGUGAAGCUAGACAAAGUGUGAUGUGUUUACCUAAUGUUAAGAAUUUUAGUAACAAAACCGUCAUAUCGAUUUAAAUAAACAGAUAUACUAGAACCUCAAUCAAAGCCAAACUUAA